UUUUAGUAAAAACAAGGUCUCCGUUGGUGAACCAGGGGGGGGAUCAUUACCGAGUUUACAACUCCCAAACCCAAUGUGAACGUUACCAAACUGUUGCCUCGGCGGGGUCACGCCCCGGGUGCGUCGCAGCCCCGGAACCAGGCGCCCGCCGGAGGAACCAACCAAACUCUUUCUGUAGUCCCCUCGCGGACGUAUUUCUUUACAGCUCUGAGCAAAAAUUCAAAAUGAAUCAAAACUUUCAACAACGGAUCUCUUGGUUCUGGCAUCGAUGAAGAACGCAGCGAAAUGCGAUAAGUAAUGUGAAUUGCAGAAUUCAGUGAAUCAUCGAAUCUUUGAACGCACAUUGCGCCCGCCAGUAUUCUGGCGGGCAUGCCUGUCCGAGCGUCAUUUCAACCCUCGAACCCCUCCGGGGGAUCGGCGUUGGGGAUCGGGACCCCUCACACGGGUGCCGGCCCCUAAAUACAGUGGCGGUCUCGCCGCAGCCUCUCCUGCGCAGUAGUUUGCACAACUCGCACCGGGAGCGCGGCGCGUCCACGUCCGUAAAACACCCAACUUUCUGAAAUGUUGACCUCGGAUCAGGUAGGAAUACCCGCUGAACUUAAGCAUAUCAAAGGGGGGGAGGAAA
rnacentral:rRNA from 1 species